AUAGCGUAUAUUAAAGUUGCUGCAGUUAAAAAGCUCGUAGUUGAAUUUCGGGACCAUCAUGUCGGUCGUGCCUCGGUACGUACUGGCAUUGUUAGUUUCUACCUUCUGACGAACCAUGAUGACAUUUAUUUGGUGUUGUGGGAAAUCAGGACUGUUACUUUGAAAAAAUUAGAGUGUUUAAAGCAGGCUCACGCUUGAAUACAUUAGCAUGGAAUAAUGAAAUAGGACGUUUGAUUCUAUUUUGUUGGUUUCUAGGAUUGACGUAAUGAUUAAUAGGGAUAGUUGGGGGCAUUAGUAUUCAAUUGUCAGAGGUGAAAUUCUUGGAUUUAUUGAAGACUAACUACUG
rnacentral:rRNA from 1 species